rfam:Salmo salar isolate Sally breed double haploid chromosome ssa02, whole genome shotgun sequence.
UAGGUCAGUUGGUAGAGCAUGGUGUUUGCAACGCCAGGGUUGUGGGUUCGAUUCCCAC